AUCGUUCAACCUAUUUUUUAAUAGGUCGGAAGUAAGCCUAAAGCUGAAGGAACGCGCA
ncrna:unclassified sequences Glutamine riboswitch